UACGUAGGGGGCAAGCGUUGUCCGGAAUCAUUGGGCGUAAAGAGCGUGUAGGCGGUCCGGUAAGUCCGCUGUGAAAGUCGGGGGCUCAACCCUCGAAUGCCGGUGGAUACUGUCGGGCUAGAGUACGGAAGAGGCGAGUGGAAUUCUUGGUGUAGCGGUGAAAUGCGCAGAUAUCAGGAGGAACACCAAUUGCGAAGGCAGCUCGCUGGGACGUUACUGACGCUGAGACGCGAAAGCGUGGGGAGCAAACAGG
rnacentral:rRNA from 1 species